UACGGAGGUUCCAAGCGUUGUUCGGAAUUACUGGGCGUAAAGGGAGCGCAGGUGGAUUGGUAAGUCUAAAGUGGAAGCCCGGGGCUCAACCUCGGAAGGCCUUUGGAUACUGCCAAUCUUGAGUACGUGAGAGGAAAGCGGAAUUCAGGGUGUAGCGGUGAAAUGCUUAGAUAUCCUGAGGAACACCAAUGGCGAAAGCAGCUUUCUGGCACGCUACUGACACUGAGGCUCGAAAGCGUGGGGAGCGAAC
rnacentral:rRNA from 1 species